CCAAUAGCGUAUAUUAAAGUUGUUGCAGUUAAAAAGCUCGUAGUUGAAUUUCGGGGUUCUACCGUUGGUCGGGCAAUUGUCUGUACUGACGUGUGGAAUUUCUACCUUCUGGGGAACCAUCAUGUUAUUAAUUUAGCGUGGUGGGAAACCAGGACCUUUACCUUGAAAAAAUUAGAGUGUUCAAAGCAGGCUUACGUCUGAAUACAUUAGCAUGGAAUAAUAAAAUAGGACGGUGGUCCUGUUUUGUUGGUUUCUGAAUCACCGUAAUGAUUAAUAGGGAUAGUUGGGGGCAUUAGUAUUCAAUUGUCAGAGGUGAAAUUCUUGGAUUUAUUGAAGACUAACUACUGCGAAAGCAUUUGCCAAGGAUGUUUUCAUUAAUCAAGAACGAAAGUUAGGGGAUCGAAGACGAUCAGAUACCGUCGUAGUCUUAACCAUAAACUAUGCCGACUAGGGAUCGGACGAUGUUAAUUUUUCUUGACUCGUUCGGCGCCUUACG
rnacentral:rRNA from 1 species